rnacentral:rRNA from 1 species
UACGGAGGUCCCAAGCGUUGUUCGGAUUCACUGGGCGUAAAGGGUGCGUAGGCGGUCGGGUAAGUCUGAUGUGAAAUCUCACAGCUUAACUGUGAAACUGCAUUGGAUACUAUCCGGCUAGAGGAAUGGAGGGGAGACUGGAAUACUUGGUGUAGCAGUGAAAUGCGUAGAUAUCAAGUGGAACACCAGUGGCGAAGGCGAGUCUCUGGGCCGAUACUGACACUGAGGAGCGAAAGCGUGGGGAGCGAACAGG